GACGAACGCUGGCGGCGUGCUUAACACAUGCGAGUCGAACGGUAAGGCCCUUCGGGGUACACGAGUGGCGAACGGGUGAGUAACACGUGGGUGAUCUGCCCUGCACUUCGGGAUAAGCCUGGGAAACUGGGUCUAAUACCGGAUAGGACCACUGCCUGCAUGGGUGGUGGUGGAAAGCUUUUGCGGUGUGGGAUGGGCCCGCGGCCUAUCAGCUUGUUGGUGGGGUGAUGGCCUACCAAGGCGACGACGGGUAGCCGGCCUGAGAGGGUGACCGGCCACACUGGACUGAGAUACGGCCCAGACUCCUACGGGAGGCAGCAGUGGGGAAUAUUGCACAAUGGGCGCAAGCCUGAUGCAGCGACGCCGCGUGAGGGAUGACGGCCUUCGGGUUGUAAACCUCUUUCAGCACCGACGAAGCGCAAGUGACGGUAGGUGCAGAAGAAGGACCGGCCAACUACGUGCCAGCCGCCGCCGUAACAC
rnacentral:rRNA from 1 species